rnacentral:rRNA from 1 species
CACAUGACUCUCGGCAAUGGAUAACUCGGCUCUCGCAUCGAUGAAGAACGUAGCGAAAUGCGAUACCUGGUGUGAAUUGCUGAAUCCUGCGAACCAUCGAGUCUUUGAACGCAAGUUGCGCCCGAGGUCACUCGGCUGAGGGCACGCCUGCUUGGGCGUCACGC